ensembl:lncRNA
CCCUAUAUAGUGCACUACUAUAGACCCUCUUCCCUAUAUAGUGCACUACUAUAGACCCUCUUCCCUAUACUAUGCACUACUAUAGACCCUCUUCCCUAUACAGUGCACUACUAUAGACCCUCUUCCCUAUACAGUGGUACUACUAUAGACCCUCUUCCCUAUAUAGUGGUACUACUAUAGACCCUCUUCCCUAUAUAUGGUACUACUAUAGACCCUCUUCCCUAUACAGUGCACUACUAUAGACCUCUUCCCUAUAUAGUGCACUACGUCUGAGCAGAACUUUAUAGGGUUGCCGUUUGGGCCACUGCCCAGGGGCUAAGCAGCUAGAUAGUCUGAUCAAUAAUCCUCCUCCUAGCUCUGCU